AUGGUCUUUGGUUUGGUCGGUCCGCCGCCCCGGCGCGUCUCUCCCCGGCUCCGGCGGCUCGGUCACUGCUCCCGGCUGUUGGCUGGGCUCUGGAAGCCCCCUUGCCUUAAUGCAGCGCCCGCCGACGUCACGGCGGCCUGCGACCAAUCAGCGGCUCGCGGUCCCUCUGUAAACCAUCCUGCAUCUCCCGGCUGGGGAGAGUGCCGGGAGACCGCGUUUCGAGGAUCAGUGGCGGCUGCCACCGCGGCCCUGCGCGGUGCGGGCGGCGGGCAGCGAGGUGCCCGGGUCCCCUCCUGCUCCGUACGUAUCCUUCAAGGCCCUGCUCAGAUGUCACCUCCUCUGGGCAGUAUUCCUGGAUUCCCUUCCAAGGAAAUGGGAAAACAGACUUCAAGAAGUUCAGAACCAUGACUGAGAACCCCGAGCUUCUGCUCUCUUUUCUCCUUCUCUCCUUUUCUGCCUCCCUAAAGCACAGGGAGGCCUGGCGUGCUGCGAUUCAUGGGGUCGCAAAGAGUCAGACACGACUGAGCGACUGAACUGAACUGAAUUGAAAGCAAAGAUGCCUGGCCUCCAAAAGCCACCCCAUCAAGUCAGGAGACAAGGCAAGCCUGAAGAUGCAAACAGCCUCCAUUUAUGAAAAUGUGACCUACAAGCACCCCCCGCCCCCCAGCAACAACUGCCCCAGGGGUCCCCAGUCCUCAGCCAAGACUCUACUUCUGAGGAUGCCUGGCUCCUCUGUUGCAGGAAGGGGGGCCCCUUCCAGGGCCUGAGAGUGGACUCUUGUCUAACACUCAGAAAUAAAUUGUCUGAGGAAACACACGUGCUGGCAAAGCAAGAGACUUUAUUCGGAAGGUGCACCUGGGCGGCGGAGAAGGCGAUGGCACCCGACUCCAGUACUCUUGCCUGGAAAAUCCCAUGGACGGAGGAGCCUGGUGGGCUGCAGUCCAUGGGGUCGCGAAGAGUCGGACACGACUGAAGUGACUUAGCAGCAGCAGCAGCACCUGGGCGGAGAACGGUAGGUUAAGAGAACCCAGGAGAACAGCUCAGCCGUGUGCUUGCAGCCUUGGGUUUUAUGGGGAUGGGACUAGUUUCUGGGCUGUCUCUGGCCAAUCAUUCUGACUCAGGGUCCUCCCUGGUGGUGCAUGCAUCGCUCAGCCAAGAUGGGUGCCAGCGAGGAGGGUUCUGGGAGGUGGAAGGAUAUGACCUUUCUCAAACUCUUCCGGUUGGUGGUGGCUUGUUAGUUCCACGUUCCUUACCGGGACUGCCUGUCGUAAAAUAACUCGCACAAAUGGUUCCUGUGAUGCCUGGCCAGGGGGGCGGUUUCAGUCAAUACGCCUCCCCAGUACUUCUUCCUCCUUCUUCUAGUCACUGGCCACCCCACCCCGCCUCCAAACCCAUUCCUUCUUGCUUUGUUCCACUGCCACUCUGGGGUGAGAGGGAAGAAAGGAGCCCGGAUCCUGGGCUUAGAGGCUCACAUUGCCCUAGAGUGACCUCUCCCUUGCCUUUCCCAAGGUGACCAUAACCUUGAACAGAUCAUUUAAGGUCUCUGAGACUCCGUUUCCUCACUAGUGAAAUGAGGCUACACUUCCCAGAAUUUUAUAAAGGAAAUGAA